UUUCCAGUAAUAACAAUAUCAUCAGCAUAUAUUAUAAAUAAGAUUAGUCCAGCUUUAGAGUGUCUAUAAAACACCAAAUGAUCGGACUUGCUCUUCUUCAUACUAAACUGCUAAACUACCUCACUGAAUCUGCCAAACCAAGCUUGAGGACUCUGUUUUAAGCCAUAAAGGGAUUUUCGGAACCUGCAAACUUUGCCUAACUCCCCUGAACAACAAAACCUGGUGGUUGCUCCAUAUAAACU
rnacentral:misc_RNA from 1 species